rfam:Firmicutes bacterium CAG:137 genomic scaffold, scf298
AACCAUGGCUGAGGUUGCGGAUUGGCAUGAGUACCCCCGACAAAAGCGGCAAGCAGUCCGCCGGGGGGAAGGGGCCGUCCGCCGAAGUGUCUGGCGCGCUGCUUUCGCGCCGGAUGCUGGGCCGGUACAGAAGAUGUGCCGGACUGUCAUCUUCCCGGAAGGAGGAUGGAGUGCACCCAUGGGA